AUGUUGGACAAUGGGGGAAACCCUGAUCCAGCCAUCGCGCGUGUAUGAUGAAGGCCUNNNGGUUGNACAGUACUCUUGGCAGANAAGNAAAGGUAUCUCCUAAUACGAGAUACUGCUGACGGUAUCUGCAGAAUAGGCACCGGCUAACUACGUGCCAGCAGCCGCGGUAAUACGUAGGGUGCAAGCGUUAAUCGGAAUUACUGGGCGUAAAGCGUGUGUAGUCGGUUCGGAAAGAAAGUUGUGAGACCCCAGGGCUCAACCUUGGAACUGCAUUUUUAACUGCCGAGCUAGAGUAUGUCAGAGGGGGGUAGAAUUCCACGUGUAGCAGUGAAAUGCGUAGAUAUGUGGAGGAAUACCGAUGGCGAAGGCAGCCCCCUGGGAUAAUACUGACGCUCAGACACGACAGCGUGGGGAGCAAACAGG
rnacentral:rRNA from 1 species